rnacentral:rRNA from 1 species
UACGGGGGUGACCAGCGUUGUUCGGAAUUACUGGGCGUAAAGGGCUCGUAGGCGGCCAACUAAGUCAGACGUGAAAUCCCCAGGCUCAACCUGGGAACUGCGUCUGAUACUGGAUGGCUUGAAUCCGGGAGAGGGAUGCAGAAUUCCAGGUGUAGCGGUGAAAUGCGUAGAUAUCUGGAGGAAUACCGGUGGCGAAGGCGGCAUCCUGGACCGGCAUUGACGCUGAGGAGCGAAAGCCAGGGGAGCAAACGGG